CGCGGCAUCUCGCUCCCUCUCCUCCGGAAACGUGUGCGGGCGAGGCAGCCGCCGGAUGGACCAGCAAAGGGCGUGUGUCACGGCUUCCUAAAUCCCGCGUGCUUAGCGAUAAUUAUAGCCAGUAUUUACUGAGCUCUGUGUAUUACCAGCCCCUGUGCUAAUCCUCGCAGCCGUGGGGAAGAGGAAGGACGCCCCUCGUGGGAACGGCCUCGUGUCUGUUUCACUAGACAGCGCGUGAGCUAGCACGCUGCCCAGCCCAGAAUGGGAGUUCAGCUCUAGACGCAUGGGCUUGGCUGCCCUUCAGCACGUGGGA